UUUCAUGUUUGAACAGAUCUCAGGCCGGGACAAACCUGGACCAGGGCAAACGUUGGAUGACUCACGUCGACAAGUUGUGUUUCCUAAAGAAGGAGGCGACGUAGAAGAAGACGCUUCUCUGCCGCAGCCAGAAGACGUCGGAGUUGCCGAAGGAGAGAAAUCGUCCAAAGCAGAGUCUACGACGGAGGUGAAGAAAAGCAGCCUUGAAAAAUCCAGUUUGGGAACGGAAUCCAACGUGGGCGCCGGCUCAAACAAAG